rnacentral:misc_RNA from 1 species
AAAAAAAGAAAAAGAAAUUUGCAAUUUUUACCAGGCAGUAACUUUUGAAUGUAUGGGUAAAUGGAACUGACAUCCAAAUCCAAUUUAGGCCCUCCUUUGGUUCAAAAUGUGUUCAUUUCUUAGUAGCUUCCGGAGAAAUGUUACUUUGUGGGACAUUAUUUGCUAGGAAGUUGUGGGUUUUAUUGUUUGGUAUGCACUUUUCCCCAAGACGUAUUUGAUUUUGGUUCUUUUUUCAGUCUAAUCGGCUUGGUUUCAGUUCCAAUUUAAAAAAAAAUUUGGUUUUCGAUUUAGUUCAGUUAGUUUAGCCAAGCUAACCAAUCUGAACUAGUUUGAUUUAAUAUAUGUGUUGUUUAGAUGGGGGGCUGCUGCGUUUUAACUUAAAACUUACCUAACCCUUAAAACAGGUAUCUCUGUUUCAGCCCUAGCCAAUUUACCUUCACACAGCCACUCUUCAUCUUUUGAUUCCUCACUCUUCAGAACUCAGAAGAUACCUCAGUCCUC